UCGAUCUUGAAGGGGUGAAAGUGGGGGGAUCCGCCAAGCCUCCAUGCUAUAGGAGGCGAUCGAGUCUGAUUAGCUAGUUGGUGGGGUAAUGUCCACCAAGCGACGAUCAGUAGCUGUCUGAGAGACGAUCAGCACCACUGGGACUGAGACACGGCCAGACUCUACGGGAGGCAGCAGUGGGGAAUUUUGGACAAUGGGCGAAAGCCUGAUCCAGCAAUGCCGCGUGUGUGAAGAAGGCCUUCGGGUUGUAAAGCACUUUUGUCCGGAAAGAAAUGGCUCUGGUUAAUACCUGGGGUCGAUGACGGUACCGGAAGAAUAAGGACCGGCUAACUACGUGCCAGCAGCCGCGGUAAUACGUAGGGUCCAAGCGUUAAUCGGAAUUACUGGGCGUAAAGCGUGCGCAGGCGGUUGUGCAAGACCGAUGUGAAAUCCCCGAGCUUAACUUGGGAAUUGCAUUGGUGACUGCACGGCUAGAGUGUGUCAGAGGGGGGUAGAAUUCCACGUGUAGCAGUGAGAUGCGUAGAGAUGUGGAGGAAUACCAAUGGCGAAGGCAGCCCCCUGGGAUAACACUGACGCUCAUGCACGAAAGCGUGGGGAGCAAACAGGAUUAGAUACCCUGGUAGUCCGCGCCCUAAACGAUGUCAACUAGUUGUUGGGGAUUCAUUUCCUUAGUAACGUAGCUAACGCGUGAAGUUGACCGCCUGGGGAGUACGGUCGCAAGAUUAAAACUCAAAGGAAUUGACGGGGACCCGCACAAGCGGUGGAUGAUGUGGAUUAAUUCGAUGCAACGCGAAAAACCUUACCUACCCUUGACAUGCCACUAACGAAGCAGAGAUGCAUUAGGUGCUCGAAAGAGAAAGUGGACACAGGUGCUGCAUGGCUGUCGUCAGCUCGUGUCGUGAGAUGUUGGGUUAAGUCCCGCAACGAGCGCAACCCUUGUCUCUAGUUGCUACGAAAGGGCACUCUAGAGAGACUGCCGGUGACAAACCGGAGGAAGGUGGGGAUGACGUCAAGUCCUCAUGGCCCUUAUGGGUAGGGCUUCACACGUCAUACAAUGGUGCAUACAGAGGGUUGCCAAGCCGCGAGGUGGAGCUAAUCCCAGAAAAUGCAUCGUAGUCCGGAUCGUAGUCUGCAACUCGACUACGUGAAGCUGGAAUCGCUAGUAAUCGCGGAUCAGCAUGCCGCCGCUACCCCAUA
rnacentral:rRNA from 1 species